CCAGUAGGGAACAGCCCGGCGAAAGUCGGACUUAAUGCCCUAUGGUUACUUCAAUGCGGACAUCUAAGUUCGAAGGAAAGAUUCGAUCGGCUGGCAGAUGGGGAUGGCGUCCGAUUAGCUUGCCGGCGGGGUAACGGCCCACCGGGGCGACGGAUCCGGUAGGGGCUCUGAGAGGAAGGUCCCCCACACUGGUACUGAGACACGGACCAGACUCCUACGGGAGGCAGCAGUGAGGAAUAUUGGUCAAUGGGCGUAAGCCUGAACCAGCCAAGUAGCGUGCAGGAUGACGGCCCUACGGGUUGUAAACUGCUUUUAUGCGGGGAUAAAGUGCGGCACGUGUGCCGCUUUGCAGGUACUGCAUGAAUAAGGACCGGCCUAAUUCCGUGCCAGCAGCUGC
rnacentral:rRNA from 1 species